GUGAUUUUAGUUUAAAAAAAAUAGUGAUUUGUCUAGUCACAGAUGGUUACUUAAUAAUCAAGUCACU
rnacentral:tRNA from 1 species